GACGAACGCUGGCGGCGUGCUUAACACAUGCCAGUCGAACGGAAAGGCCCUGCUUUUGUGGGGUGCUCGAGUGGCGAACGGGUGAGUAACACGUGAGUAACCUGCCCUUGACUUUGGGAUAACUUCAGGAAACUGGGGCUAAUACCGGAUAGGCGCUCCUGCUGCAUGGUGGGGGUUGGAAAGUUUCGGCGGUUGGGGAUGGACUCGCGGCUUAUCAGCUUGUUGGUGGGGUAGUGGCUUACCAAGGCUUUGACGGGUAGCCGGCCUGCGAGGGUGACCGGCCACAUUGGGACUGGGAUACAGCCCAGAGGCCUACGGGUGGCAGCAGUGGUGAAUAGUUCACAAUGGGCGGAAGCCUGAUGCAGCAACGCCGCGUGCGGGAUGACGGCCUUCGGGUUGUAAACCGCUUUCGCCUGUGACGAAGCGUGAGUGACGGUAAUGGGUAAAGAAGCACCGGCUAACUACGUG
rnacentral:rRNA from 1 species